CCCCCACGAGGUGCUUCCCUUCACAGCAGGAGAGAUUCUAUCCAAGGUCAACGUGCACUGCCCAGUGUUCAACAUGUGACUUUACUCUGUUUCUCUAUAGGAGAGAUUCUAUCCAAGGUCAACGUGCACUGCCCUGUGUUCAACAUGUGACUUUACUCUGUUUCUCUAUAGGAGAGAUUCUAUCCAAGGUCAACGUGCACUGCCCAGUGUUCAACAUGUGACUUUACUCUGUUUCUCUAUAGGAGAGAUUCUAUCCAAGGUCAACGUGCACUGCCCAGUGUUCAACAUGUGACUUUACUCUGUUUCUCUAUAGGAGAGAUUCUAUCCAAGAUCAACGUGCACUGCCCAGUGUUCAACAUGUGACUUUACUCUGUUUCUCUAUAGGAGAGAUUCUAUCCAAGGUCAACGUGCACUGCCCAGUGUUCAACAUGUGACUUUACUCUGUUUCUCUAUAGGAGAGAUUCUAUCCAAGGUCAACGUGCACUGCCCAGUGUUCAACAUGUGACUUUACUCUGUUUCUCUAUAGGAGAGAUUCUAUCCAAGGUCAACGUGCACUGCCCAGUGUUCAACAUGUGACUUUACUCUGUUUCUCUAUAGGAGAGAUUCUAUCCAAGGUCAACGUGCACUGCCCAGUGUUCAACAUGUGACUUUACUCUGUUUCUCUAUAGGAGAGAUUCUAUCCAAGGUCAACGUGCACUGCCCAGUGUUCAACAUGUGACUUUACUCUGUGUCUCUAUAGGAGAGAUUCUAUCCAAGGUCAACGUGCACUGCCCAGUGUUCAACAUGUGACUUUACUCUGUUUCUCUAUAGGAGAGAUUCUAUCCAAGGUCAACGUGCACUGCCCAGUGUUCAACAUGUGACUUUACUCUGUUUCUCUAUAGGAGAGAUUCUAUCCAAGGUCAACGUGCACUGCCCAGUGUUCAACAUGUGACUUUACUCUGUUUCUCUAUAGGAGAGAUUCUAUCCAAGGUCAACGUGCACUGCCCAGUGUUCAACAUGUGACUUUACUCUGUGUCUCUAUAGGAGAGAUUCUAUCCAAGGUCAACGUGCACUGCCCAGUGUUCAACAUGUGACUUUACUCUGUUUCUCUAUAGGAGAGAUUCUAUCCAAGGUCAACGUGCACUGCCCAGUGUUCAACAUGUGACUUUACUCUGUUUCUCUAUAGGAGAGAUUCUAUCCAAGGUCAACGUGCACUGCCCAGUGUUCAACAUGUGACUUUACUCUGUUUCUCUAUAGGAGAGAUUCUAUCCAAGGUCAACGUGCACUGCCCAGUGUUCAACAUGUGACUUUACUCUGUUUCUCUAUAGGAGAGAUUCUAUCCAAGGUCAACGUGCACUGCCCAGUGUUCAACAUGUGACUUUACUCUGUUUCUCUAUAGGAGAGAUUCUAUCCAAGGUCAACGUGCACUGCCCAGUGUUCAACAUGUGACUUUACUCUGUUUCUCUAUAGGAGAGAUUCUAUCCAAGGUCAACGUGCACUGCCCAGUGUUCAACAUGUGACUUUACUCUGUGUCUCUAUAGGAGAGAUUCUAUCCAAGGUCAACGUGCACUGCCCAGUGUUCAACAUGUGACUUUACUCUGUUUCUCUAUAGGAGAGAUUCUAUCCAAGGUCAACGUGCACUGCCCAGUGUUCAACAUGUGACUUUACUCUGUUUCUCUAUAGGAGAGAUUCUAUCCAAGGUCAACGUGCACUGCCCAGUGUUCAACAUGUGACUUUACUCUGUUUCUCUAUAGGAGAGAUUCUAUCCAAGGUCAACGUGCACUGCCCAGUGUUCAACAUGUGACUUUACUCUGUUUCUCUAUAGGAGAGAUUCUAUCCAAGGUCAACGUGCACUGCCCAGUGUUCAACAUGUGACUUUACUCUGUUUCUCUAUAGGAGAGAUUCUAUCCAAGGUCAACGUGCACUGCCCAGUGUUCAACAUGUGACUUUACUCUG